rnacentral:lncRNA from 10 species
UGAUCUAGAAACAUCUGAUGAUUUCACAGUAGAAUUAUUGCUCUGUUGCCCAUGCUGGAGUGCAGUGGCCCGAUCUUAACUCAAUUAAACCUCUGCUUCCCAAGUUCAAGCAAUCUCCCAACCUUAGCCUCCCUACUAGCCGGAACUACAGGCAUGCCCCACCACGCCCAGCUAAUUUUUGCAUUUUUAGUAGAGACAGGC